GUGAAUCAUCAAAUUUUUGAACGCAAAUUGCACUCUCUUCGGAGAGUAUGCCUGUUUGAGGGUCAGCCUAUAAAAAAUCGACAUCGUUGCUGUUUCGCGGUGGCGUUCGUCGGAAAUUGGGUUAUCUUAAAUCUUUUUUUUUUUUAAUCGACUUAAAUUUUUCUUUUUUUUUCCAUGAACGUUUCUAAUAUUUAUUUCUUCACUUGUGUAAU
rnacentral:misc_RNA from 1 species